rnacentral:lncRNA from 1 species
UUCUAUUAAUAAAACUAGAAAGCAAAUAAAUCAAUAACAAAAAAAAUAAAAAAAAAUCCAUUAAUAAAACUAGAAAGUAAAUAAAUCAAAAACAAGAAAAUAAUAAAAUAUUUUCUAUUAACAAACUUAGAAAAUAAAUAAAUCAAAAACAAAAAAUAAAAUAAAAGAUUUUCUAUUAAUAAAACUAGAAAAUAAAUGAAUUACAUAAAAAAAUAUGACAAAAGAUUUUAUAUUAAUAAAACUAAAAAGCAGUAUUAAGCAUUUAAUUCCAAUACAAGUCUAGAAACCCGAUACACACACUUAUAUUUACUCGGCAAUGAAGUAAAGUGGAAUACACCAUCGUCCAUCGGUAGAAGUAGCCACCUCACCCGCUAGCGUUAGGGUUUUUAAUUCGAUUUAACGGCAUGCAGCGUUUAGCGUGUUGAAUAGUUCACGUGAGAUCAAAAAUUUCGCAGUGAUGAAAAAGAUACAUUAGACUGAAAUAAGUGAUUCAUUUAAUAAUUAACUCAAAAUUUAAAUGAACAUGCACGGACGAGGGCAGAAAACCAUUCGUAUGACGAUCGCGUGAUGACAAUCUGACCGAAGGAGCUCCGCGCCGUAAUUAUCAACAGCUGCACAAAAUUGCUAAGCUCCACCUUAAGAGUUGAAAGUUGAAACUGUGUUUCGGGGAGUAUUACGAUUUACGAGUAGUAGUCUUUUUUACAUAGAUCCUUGUCGCCACGUGUGAUUGCACUCUGGUCAAGGCUUUUGACCACUCUCAUGCAGACCUCGCACGCGGUUCCAUUCAUUUCUCAUGUCUCAUCCUGUGGACUUCCUUAACACACACUUGCAUUUGAGAUACUUCAUUCAAGAUAUUAAAAAAAAAUAAAAUCUGAUAAUUGUUUUAUACGAGUAUUAUUUAGUUAAAUUUAAAAUCUUAUUAUCUCUCGCAUUAAACUUUAAAACUGAAUUUUACUCUUUUUUUUCCUUCAGAAUCACGCCAUACCAUACAUACUCAGUAUUCACGCUUAGAGCAAUGUCUGAAGAGGGUAAAAUGUAUGUAGCUAUGUCCUUACUCUUAACAUAGAGAAUGUUGGAGCCAAAGUUCUGCCGGAUGCCGAAGCCUGAAAGUGACCUGAAAUAGAGAAGAAUGCGAGGGAUUGUCCCCCCGAUUCACCUCCGGCGUGAGAAUAAGUUAGUGGCUCUAGGAAGGGGUUUUGGAACUGCAAGCGUGAGUGUGUAUGUAUGAGAGUGUAUGUGAAUAUCUUUUACCCUUGAUUUACCUCCUUUAUAUAGGGGGGAGAUGAACCUGAGCUUUGUAACGUUCCCGUCCGAUGCGGGAGGGAAGUAAUGGUGUGUUAAUGAGGCGGGAUCUCCGCCCUUCGACCGUUGCAGACUAGGAGCGUGGGUGGAGUUCAA